UGGGGAAUAUUGCACAAUGGGCGCAAGCCUGAUGCAGCCAUGCCGCGUGUGUGAAGAAGGCCUUCGGGUUGUAAAGCACUUUCAGCGGGGAGGAAGGCGUUAAGGUUAAUAACCUUGGCGAUUGACGUUACCCGCAGAAGAAGCACCGGCUAACUCCGUGCCAGCAGCCGCGGUAAUACGGAGGGUGCAAGCGUUAAUCGGAAUUACUGGGCGUAAAGCGCACGCAGGCGGUCUGUCAAGUCGGAUGUGAAAUCCCCGGGCUCAACCUGGGAACUGCAUUCGAAACUGGCAGGCUAGAGUCUUGUAGAGGGGGGUAGAAUUCCAGGUGUAGCGGUGAAAUGAGUAGAGAUCUGGAGGAAUACCGGUGGCGAAGGCGGCCCCCUGGACAAAGACUGACGCUCAGGUGCGAAAGCGUGGGGAGCAAACAGG
rnacentral:rRNA from 1 species